AUUGAACGCUGGCGGAAUGCUUUACACAUGCAAGUCGAACGGCAGCACGGACUUCGGUCUGGUGGCGAGUGGCGAACGGGUGAGUAAUGUAUCGGAACGUGCCCAGUCGUGGGGGAUAACGUGGUGAAAAUUACGCUAAUACCGCAUACGAACUAUGGAUGAAAGCGGGGGAUCGCAAGACCUCGCGCGAUUGGAGCGGCCGAUAUCAGAUUAGGUAGUUGGUGGGGUAAAGGCCCACCAAGCCAACGAUCUGUAGCUGGUCUGAGAGGACGACCAGCCACACUGGAACUGAGACACGGUCCAGACUCCUACGGGAGGCAGCAGUGGGGAAUUUUGGACAAUGGGCGAAAGCCUGAUCCAGCCAUUCCGCGUGCAGGAUGAAGGCCCUCGGGUUGUAAACUGCUUUUGUACAGAACGAAAAGGUUUCUACUAAUACUAGGAGCUCAUGACGGUACUGUAAGAAUAAGCACCGGCUAACUACGUGCCAGCCGCCGCAGUAA
rnacentral:rRNA from 1 species